rnacentral:snRNA from 1 species
GUGCUUGCUUUGGCAGCACAUAUACAAAAAUUGAAAUGAUACAGAGAAGAUUAGCAUGGCCCCUGCACAAAGAUGACAUGCAAAUUUGCAGAGCAUUCUGUAUUUUUU